ncrna:unclassified sequences IS605-orfB-I RNA
GUCGUAUAAAGAUGUAUUAGAUGCAAGACAAUCUAGCAUUUCCCUUUACGGCAUUAUAAUACUAUUUAGAAGUUCAAACAACAAUAAUUGUUGCAUGGUUAAUAAUCGAAACGAUUUGAGUUUGAACUGAGUAGGUUAGCCGUAUGACCUUGUGUUGAAAAACACUAAAAACAAUCUUAAAAUGACAUUUCUUAAUUUUCGUUAUUUUGAGUUACGGUGGU